rnacentral:tRNA from 1 species
GGAGGGUAUAGCUCAGUGGUAGAGUGCAUGCUUAGCAUGCACGAGGUCCUGGGUUCAAUCCCCAGUACCUCCU